rnacentral:rRNA from 1 species
UACGUAGGGUGCAAGCGUUGUCCGGAAUUAUUGGGCGUAAAGAGCGCGUAGGCGGUCGUUCAAGUCGAGUGUGAAAGCCCCCGGCUCAACUGGGGAGGGUCAUUCGAUACUGAUCGACUUGAAGGCAGGAGAGGGAAGCGGAAUUCCCGGUGUAGUGGUGAAAUGCGUAGAUAUCGGGAGGAACACCAGUGGCGAAGGCGGCUUCCUGGCCUGUUCUUGACGCUGAGGCGCGAAAGCUAGGGGAGCAAACGGG